rnacentral:tRNA from 4 species
GGGGCGCUAGCUCAACUGGCAGAGCAUCGGACUCCAAAUCCGGAGGUUGGGGGUUCAAGUCCUCCGCGCCCCGCCA